AUGUUUCUCUGGCGUUCGGAGGACUGGACGAUGCAACUUUGCGGUUUGCCGGAGACGGCAAAGCUGGCUGAUGGUGAAAAUGCCAUUGGAGUGAAAAUAUCGAUAAAUGUUGGCGAUCCGAGCGUUGGAUUGGCAACGAAUGAACCAGAUCAAGCUGCUCCAUUUCACCAUGCCGUCACCCGAAUUCGUCCCGCCAUAGAGAAAGAGAGCUCCGCCUCUAGAUCGACGCUGGUGCCCCCAUCCAAUCCGCCAUCACAUAGCCNNNNNNNNNNUCCCAACCUCGACCUCCAGCUCGCCGCCCAGCCGAAUCUUCGCCUUACAAAAACCACCAGCCGCAGUGGUUGGUGUUGGCCCACCUAA
rnacentral:rRNA from 1 species